AGUUAGUAGAAUAUUGAGGUAUAAUACGUGAGUUAUGAAUUGGCAUGAGAAGGGGUAUUUAUAGAGAAUGGGUUUAUAUUGUUAACUUUAUUGUCAUAUUAAAUAGAAAUAUAGAGCGGAUUAUGUCCGGUACUUUUUGCAUCAUGGUUUGUAGAGAGUGCUCAAUUGGUUGGGUUCCCGAAAGUCAUAGAUCUAUUCUGGCUAAAAUGGGUUUAUUAAUUAUGUUUCAUAUUAAUCCUACUCUAAUGUUGGAAAAUUAUUUGAGAAGGUUAGGAUAGGGCGAAAAGCUAUUCGUGAUGGCUGAUAGCUGGUUGAGGAGGAAAUGUAUUUAAGUGCAGGCUUUUCUUUCGUCUUUUUUAUAGGUAAAAUUGGACUGGAUGUUUAGCUGAUGUGUGCGGGGGUUAGCUCGAACACGGUGUGGUGAAAAACUAAGUACUAAGUAGGAUUUAAACUGUCUCUCUUUGUGACUCUUAUUUAAGGUAAAUAUAAUUAACUAUAAUAAGUUAGGUACUCCUUUAGUUUAGCUAAUGAGGCUGGUUAAAAUUAGUAUAAAAUAAGUAGGAAAAGUGUAAAUAUAGAAAUAUAUUAAUUUGUCAAAGUCUAAUUUUAUGGGUUUUGAUAUAUAAAGUUAUAACUAUAAUUUUGAGGUUUAUUUAACUAUGUGCUUCUAAUGAACUCGGCAAAUUUUUUCUGCACCUGUUUAUUAAAAACAUGGCCUCCUGAGGUUUGUUAAUGGGAGGUUAGGCCUGCCCGGUGGAUAAGUUCUAAACGGUCGCAGCUUUUACUGUGCUAAGGUAGCGUAAUAGGUCGUCCUUUAAUUGGGGAAAAGUAUGAAUGGUCAGAUGGUGGAAAUACUUUAUUAGACGCAAUGUUUUGAAAUUUACUUUCAGUGUGCAAAGGCCUGAAUAUAUCUAUUAGACGAGAAGACCCUGUUGAGCUUAAUAAAACGUGGCCGUUUAGGUUAUGUUGUACGUUUGUUCGGGGCCGAGAGGAAGGGAAGAUAAUUCCUUCUUAGUGAUAUGUGGAUCCAGCAUGGCUGAUAGGAAGAAGAUAGUUACCACAGGGAUAACAGCGCAAUCUUUUUGUCAAGAUCAAAUUUGAGUAAGGGUUUGCGACCUCGAUGUUGAAUCAGAAUUUCUACUGGGUGUAGCAGCUUAGUAAGUGGGACUGUUCGUCCUUUGAAAUUUUACGUGAUUUGAGUUUAGACCGGCGUGAGCUAGGUCGGUUUCUAUCUGUAGUUUGGAAAAUCCUAGUACGAAAGGAUCGGGUUUUUUAGUUUAUACUAAAAUGUUUUACGUGGGUUGAGCUUGGAGGCUUGCUGUAAUUUAUUAUUCGGCGAUGGCAUGUGAAA
rnacentral:rRNA from 1 species